AACGAACGCUGGCGGCGCACCUAACACAUGCAAGUCGAACGAGAAAGUUUCCUUCGGGAAGCGAGUAGAGUGGCGCACGGGUGAGUAACGCGUAGGUAAUCUAUCCUAAUAUUUGGGAUAACAUCGGGAAACUGGUGCUAAUACCGGAUACCCUUCAUUUCUGCCGGGUUAUGGAGGAAAGGUGGCCUCUUCAUGAAAGCUACCGUAUAAGGAUGAGCCUGCGUACCAUUAGCUAGUAGGUGGGGUAAUGGCCCACCUAGGCUACGAUGGUUAGCGGGUCUGAGAGGAUGAUCCGCCACACUGGAACUGGAACACGGACCAGACUCCUNACGGGAGGCAGCAGUGAGGAAUAUUGCACAAUGGGCGAAAGCCUGAUGCAGCAACGCCGCGUGGAGGAUGACGCAUUUCGGUGUGUAAACUCCUUUUAUAUGUCAAGAAAAUGACGGUAGCAUAUGAAUAAGCACCGGCUAGCU
rnacentral:rRNA from 1 species